GGCUAGAUAACAUAAAGGUAAUGUAAAGGACUGCAAAUCCUUUAAUAACGGUUCAAAUCCGUUUCUAGCUU
rnacentral:tRNA from 1 species